GCACAAAAUGGCUGCCAUGGACAAGAAACAAGAGGCGACUGCUUUCUGUACUGGCUUACCUGCUGCUUCGUCUAAAUCAGGGAUGGGGAACUUGUGGCCCACCAGAUAAUGCUGUCCGGACUACAUAGCCUAUCAUCCAUGGACAUUGGCCAUGCAUUGGAGAUACAGUCCACAGAGUCUGGUAGAGUCUGGAAGUAGCUUCCUCACCUCCUGAUUCCCACUGGAAGAAUGCCACAAGCUGAAGCAGGAUAUCAGAUGAGCAUGACUACUGCGAAUAGGCCGAGAAAUGGUCAUGGAGAACCUCAGCAGUUGAGGGUCAUGGUCUACAUUACAGAUUUAAACUGG